rnacentral:RNase_P_RNA from 1 species
CGAGUUAGCCGGACGGUCGCGGGGUAGAAAUACCGUGAGGAAAGUCCGAGCAUCACAGGGCAAGGGUGCAGGUGAAAUGCCUGUGAAGGUGACUUCAAGGAAAGUGCAACAGAAAAAAACCGCCCGCAAGGGUAAGGAUGGAAAGGCGAGGUAAGAGCUCACCCACAAAUCGGUGACGAGGCGUGGUGUAAACCCCACCUGAUGCAAGACACGGAGCAUAUGGGUUGCCCGCCCGCUCCAAAAAGUCGCUUGAGCGCUACGGCAACGUAUCGCCUAGAUAGAUGACCGUUCAAGACAGAACUCGGCUUAUAGACUAAUCUCGCACA